GCGGUCGUAGCUCAGCUGGAUAGAGCACGAGAUUCCUAAUCUCGGGGUCGUGGGUUCGAAUCCCCCCGAUCGCACCA
rnacentral:tRNA from 1 species